rnacentral:rRNA from 1 species
CCCUUAGAUGUUCUGGGCUGCACACGUGCUACACUGGCAGGUUCAGCGAGCUUCAUGCCCUGAUCUGAAAGGAAUGGGAAAUCUUUUCAAAACCUGCCGUGCUUGGGAUAGAUGUUUGCAAUUAUUCAUCUUCAACGAGGAUUGCCUUGUAAGCGCACGUCAUCAGCGUGCAUUGAAUACGACCCUGUAUUCUGUACACACCGCCCGUCGCUCCUACCGAUUGAAGUUUUCGGUGAGUUGACAGGAGGAUUUUUUUGAAACCGGUUCGCCAGUGGAUUUUAGAUCCAAAUGCCAACGAAUCGAUGGCUUUAGAGGAAGGAGAAGUCGUAACA